GAAACGGGUGGUAAUGCCGGAUGCUCCGACUCCUCGCAUGGGGUGUCGGGAAAGAUUAUAUCGGUAUGGGAUGGGGUCGCGUCCUAUCAGGUAGUCGGCGGGGUAACGGCCCACCGAGCCUACGACGGGUAGCCGGCCUGAGAGGGCGACCGGCCACAUUGGGACUGAGAUACGGCCCAGACUCCUACGGGAGGCAGCAGUGGGGAAUAUUGCACAAUGGGCGCAAGCCUGAUGCAGCGACGCCGCGUGCGGGAUGACGGCCUUCGGGUUGUAAACCGCUUUUGAUCGGGAGCAAGCCUUCGGGUGAGUGUACCUUUCGAAUAAGCACCGGCUAACUACGUGCCAGCAGCCGCGGUAAUACGUAGGGUGCAAGCGUUAUCCGGAAUUAUUGGGCGUAAAGGGCUCGUAGGCGGUUCGUCGCGUCCGGUGUGAAAGUCCAUCGCUUAACGGUGGAUCUGCGCCGGGUACGGGCGGGCUGGAGUGCGGUAGGGGAGACUGGAAUUCCCGGUGUAACGGUGGAAUGUGUAGAUAU
rnacentral:rRNA from 1 species